rnacentral:tRNA from 1 species
GCCUUCGUGGUGUAGUGGUGAACACGCUCGACACGCAUACAAGAGGCUCGUGGUUCGAGUCCCGGCGAGGGCG